GACGAACGCUGGCGGCGUGCCUAAUACAUGCAAGUCGAGCGAAUCGAUGGGAGCUUGCUCCCUGAGAUUAGCGGCGSACGGGUGAGUAACACGUGGGCAACCUGCCUAUAAGACUGGGAUAACUUCGGGAAACCGSAGCUAAUACCGGAUACGUUCUUUUCUCGCAUGAGAGAAGAUGGAAAGACGGUUUACGCUGUCACUUAUAGAUGGGCCCGCGGCGCAUUAGCUAGUUGGUGAGGUAAUGGCUCACCAAGGCGACGAUGCGUAGCCGACCUGAGAGGGKGAUCGGCCACACUGGGACUGAGACACGGCCCAGACUCCUACGGGAGGCAGCAGUAGGGAAUCUUCCGCAAUGGACGAAAGUCUGACGGAGCAACGCCGCGUGAACGAAGAAGGCCUUCGGGUCGUAAAGUUCUGUUGUUAGGGAAGAACAAGUACCAGAGUAACUGCUGGUACCUUGACGGUACCUAACCAGAAAGCCACGGCUAACUACGUGCCAGCAGCCGCGGUAAUAUGUAGGUGGCAAGCGUUGUCCGGAAUUAUUGGGCGUAAAGCGCGCGCAGGUGGUUCCUUAAGUCUGAUGUGAAAGCCCACGGCUCAACCGUGGAGGGUCAUUGGAAACUGGGGAACUUGAGUGCAGAAGAGGAAAGUGGAAUUCCAAGUGUAGCGGUGAAAUGCGUAGAGAUUUGGAGGAACACCAGUGGCGAAGGCGACUUUCUGGUCUGUAACUGACACUGAGGCGCGAAAGCGUGGGGAGCAAACAGGAUUAGAUACCCUGGUAGUCCACGCCGUAAACGAUGAGUGCUAAGUGUUAGAGGGUUUCCGCCCUUUAGUGCUGCAGCUAACGCAUUAAGCACUCCGCCUGGGGAGUACGGCCGCAAGGCUGAAACUCAAAGGAAUUGACGGGGGCCCGCACAAGCGGUGGAGCAUGUGGUUUAAUUCAAAGCAACGCGAAGAACCUUACCAGGUCUUGACAUCCUCUGACAACCCUAGAGAUAGGGCUUUCCCCUUCGGGGGACAGAGUGACAGGUGGUGCAUGGUUGUCGUCAGCUCGUGUCGUGAGAUGUUGGGUUAAGUCCCGCAACGAGCGCAACCCUUGAUCUUAGUUGCCAGCAUUCAGUUGGGCACUCUAAGGUGACUGCCGGUGACAAACCGGAGGAAGGUGGGGAUGACGUCAAAUCAUCAUGCCCCUUAUGACCUGGGCUACACACGUGCUACAAUGGAUGGUACAAAGGGCUGCAAACCUGCGAAGGUAAGCGAAUCCCAUAAAGCCAUUCUCAGUUCGGAUUGCAGGCUGCAACUCGCCUGCAUGAAGCCSGAAUCGCUAGUAAUCGCGGAUCASCAUGCCGCGGUGAAUACGUUCCCGGGCCUUGUACACACCGCCCGUCACACCACGAGAGUUUGUAACACCCGAAGUCGGUGAGGUAACCUUCAUGGAGCCAGCCGCCUAAGGUGGGACAGAUGAUUGGGGUGAAG
rnacentral:rRNA from 1 species